UACGGAGGAUGCAAGCGUUAUCCGGAUUCAUUGGGUUUAAAGGGUGCGUAGGCGGGCUAUUAAGUCAGUGGUGAAAUCCUGCAGCUUAACUGCAGAACUGCCGUUGAUACUGAUAGUCUUGAGUUUGGUUAAGGUAGGCGGAAUGUGUAAUGUAGCGGUGAAAUGCUUAGAUAUUACACAGAACACCAAUUGCGUAGGCAGCUUACUGAGCCGACACUGACGCUGAGGCACGAAAGCGUGGGGAUCAAACAGGAUUAGA
rnacentral:rRNA from 1 species